rnacentral:rRNA from 1 species
AAAGAAUAUCGGAGACGGAUGGGCAUGCGGCGCAUUAGCUGGUUGGCGGGGUAACGGCCCACCAAGGCGACGAUGCGUAGGGGUUCUGAGAGGAAGGUCCCCCACACUGGUACUGAGACACGGACCAGACUCCUACGGGAGGCAGCAGUGAGGAAUAUUGGUCAAUGGGCGAGAGCCUGAACCAGCCAAGUCGCGUGAGGGAGUACUGCCCUAUGGGUUGUAAACCUCUUUUGUCGGGGAGCAAAAGCCGGACGUGUCCGGCUGUGAGAGUACCCGAAGAAAAAGCAUCGGCUAACUCCGUGCCAGCAGCCGCGGUAAUACGGAGGAUGCGAGCGUUAUCCGGAUUUAUUGGGUUUAAAGGGUGCGCAGGCGGAUUUUUAAGUCAGCGGUCAAAUCGUGGGGCUCAACCCCAUCCAGCCGUUGAAACUGGGGAUCUAGAGUGUGCGAGAGGUAUGCGGAAUGCGUGGUGUAGCGGUGAAAUGCAUAGAUAUCACGCAGAACCCCGAUUGCGAAGGCAGCAUACCGGUGCACAACUGACGCUCAGGCACGAAAGCGUGGGUAUCGAACAGGAUUAGAUACCCUGGUAGUCCACGCAGUAAACGAUGAAUGCUACCUGUUUGGCCAGAUUGAUGGCUGA